GCAUCUCUCUAUCGUCUUUCUUUUAAUUUAUAGAUAUAUAGCUUAGUUUACUUUCAAAAAUUUCUAGUCCCCAUAUUUUUGAGGAAAAAUACAGAUGUACUAUGUUGUUCCAGAUAUAUGUCUCAAACUCCCAAUGUAUUUGAUACGUUCUUUGAAGCCAUUGAAGGAACAUUGAUGCUUAUAAAUGUGGUAAAAAAAAUAAUUGAAUGUGGUCCGGGCUAAAGAAGACAAAAACAAAGACAAAACACAUAAGUUUGGUGAACCACUAGCUACUGCCAUUCUUAAUUUGGCUAAUACUAAAAAUACCAAGAUGUUGCGCAGGGGGU